rnacentral:rRNA from 1 species
CUAACAGCCGCCGCCGUAACACAUGCAAGUCGAGCGAGAACUUCGGUUCUAGCGGCGGACGGGUUAGUAACGCGUGGGAAUAUGCCCUUCACUACGGAAUAGUCCCGGGAAACUGGGUUUAAUACCGUAUACGCCCUUCGGGGGAAAGAUUUAUCGGAGAAGGAUCGGCCCGCGUUGGAUUAGGUAGUUGGUGGGGUAAUGGCCUACCAAGCCUACGAUCCAUAGCUGGUUUGAGAGGAUGAUCAGCCACACUGGGACUGAGACACGGCCCAGACUCCUACGGGAGGCAGCAGUGGGGAAUCUUAGACAAUGGGGGCAACCCUGAUCUAGCCAUGCCGCGUGAGUGAUGAAGGCCUUAGGGUUGUAAAGCUCUUUCAGCUGGGAAGAUAAUGACGGUACCAGCAGAAGAAGCCCCGGCUAACUCCGUGCCAGCAGCCGCCGUAACAC